rnacentral:rRNA from 1 species
GGUUAAAAAGCUCGUAGUUGGAUCUCGGCAAGUAGAGGGCGGUAUGCUUCGUAGCAUUACUGCCCUAUUACUUGUAGUUUUGCCAGAGGUUCCUGGGUGCUCUUAAUCGAGUGUCUAGGGAUGCUGGCAGGUUUACUUUGAAAAAAUUAGAGUGCUCAAAGCAGGCUAUUACGCUUGAAUAUUCGUGCAUGGAAUAAUAGAAUAGGAAGUUGUUUCUAUUUUGUUGGUUUUCGGAAAUCGACUUAAUGAUUAAUAGGGACAGUCGGGGGCAUUUGUAUUCAAACGACAGAGGUGAAAUUCUUGGACCGUUUGAAGACAAACUACUGCGAAAGCAUUUGCCAAGAAUGUUUUCAUUAAUCAAGAACGAAAGUUAGAGGUUCGAAGGCGAUUAGAUACCGCCCUAGUUCUAACCAUAAACGAUGCCAGCUAGCGAUCUGAGGACGUUUUUUUUGUAGACUCCUCAGGAAGCUUCCGGGAAACCAAGGCGUGUGGGUUCCGGGGGAAGUAUGGUUGCAAAGCUGAAACUUAAAGGAAUUGACGGAAGGGCACCACCAGGAGUGGAGCCUGCGGCU